UGGACAAAUUAUUGUAUUCGACUGUAUUCACGGCGUAAAACAGAGGAUUACACUGUUUUUAAACGGAAAGUGAAUCAAUUAACAUAAUAGACUCCU
rfam:Nicotiana sylvestris Nsyl_contig103545, whole genome shotgun sequence.